UUUAUGAACAAAAUUUUUCACUAAGUUUGAGAAACUACUAAAAUUUCACUGUUGACACCGCCGUCUUAGUCAAGGAAUUUUAGCUGCAACUGAAGCCAGAGCCAGGAGUCUUUCUUUCGCGGUAGAACAAAAACAAGAGACCUUCUUCUUGGUGAACGCUCCUUUUAUCUCCUCCAUGGUCAACGGUGUCAGCUGUAAAAACGUUAAAGUUUGUUGACCCAACAUUAAAGCUCCUUUUCUGUACCGCACUGAGCGAAAGUUUAGUUUCACGGCGAAUUUACAUUUCUUUGAGUACCUAUUGCAAUUUAGAAGUGGUUUUUGUCUGAGUUGCGAUCCACUUCUACACCUUUUCUGCACAAAGCUUUCUUCGUAUGACAGGUCUCUUUACUAUUAUUUUGUUUUGAUCUCGUUUGUUUGUUAGCAAUGUGUUGUGCCGGUGAACUUUCACCAAAAUAGAAUACCCAACGAUCGCUCAAGAUAUGUGUCUUAUGUUAUGGUUUUAUUCAAAAAUUGUUCACGCACUAACCAAGGAUUUCCAUAAAAUUUUAAGAUUUGUCAAAUUCAAAGUCACGUUGUUGGUGGCAGAGAAUUGAGGAACCUUCGAGUGAGUGUUACUUGUUGUGUGUUAGGUGGUCGUGUUGUGUUUAGUAGGCAGCUAUACCAACGACGUUGUAACGAUUAAAUUUUAAUUAAUAAAAUUUUGUAUCAUUACAAAUGAUUUGUAAUAAUUUAGACAUAAUAAUGAUGAUAGAUAAUCGAAAACCUUUAUUUUAAUUUAAUUAUUUGUUUUGUUGUGAAAGCGAAUUUUUAUGCCCAUAAUGUUAAUGACUUGAUAUCUUAGCCUUGAACGGUGGGUUAAGAUAUCAACAUUUAGCAAAAACAACAACAACAAUUGUAUAUCACGAGCACACUUUGCUCGUCAUAUGAA